UGAGGAAUUUUGCGCAAUGGGGGAAACCCUGACGCAGCGACGCCGCGUGGAGGAUGAAGGCCUUCGGGUCGUAAACUCCUGUCAGAGGUGAAGAAUGCCCGCAAGGGUUUGACGGUAACCUCAGAGGAAGCCCCGGCUAACUACGUGCCAGCAGCCGCGGUAAUACGUAGGGGGCAAACGUUACUCGGAAUUACUGGGUGUAAAGGGUGCGUAGGCGGCUGGGAAAGUCAAGGAUGAAAUCCCGUGGCUCAACUGCGGAACAGUCCUUGAAACUACUCGGCUUGAGGAUAACCGAUGAGAACGGAAUUCCCGGUGGAGCGGUGAAAUGCGUAGAUAUCGGGAGGAACACCUGAGGCGAAAGCGGUUCUCUAGACUACUCCUGACGCUGAGGCACGAAAGCUAGGGGAGCAAACGG
rnacentral:rRNA from 1 species